UACGGGGGGGGGCAAGCGUUGUUCGGAAUUACUGGGCGUAAAGGGCGCGUAGGCGGCCUGCUAAGUCGGACGUGAAAUCCCUCGGCUCAACCGGGGAACUGCGUCCGAUACUGGCGAGGCUUGAAUCCGGGAGAGGGAUGUGGAAUUCCAGGUGUAGCGGUGAAAUGCGUAGAUAUCGGGAGGAACACCAGUAGCGAAGGCGGCUCGCUGGGCCGUUCCUGACGCUGAGACGCGAAAGCUAGGGGAGCGAACAGG
rnacentral:rRNA from 1 species